CUAUCUCUCCUCCUCACACAUCCUCUCUCCUCGUCACCUCUGGCCGGAGGAGAACACUGCGGCGGCAUCUCCUGGCGAUGGCAGUGGGGGCGGGUGAGGCUGCAAGGCGACGAGCCAAGGCGGCAGAGGAUCCGGUUCGUAUGCUGUUGUUGCUGCCGAUGGACGGAUGAGGCGCUCUCAGAUCACUCCCCACGGGCCUCCUUCGUCUUCCAAGUCCCAACCAUGGCCGGCUCCAACCCCUCCUCUGUUAUUGUUGUGCUCCUGUAGGAGAAGAAGAAGAAUAGGCAUGAUCUCUGUAUACAUCCAGUGUAUUUGGUUGGAUUACUUUCGUUCUCUGAGAAAUUUGGUGAGUCCAAGAUUUAAUUUCCUUGUUGAAUAGACAACAUAUAGGAUGAGAAUGUGUAUGUUUGCUGAUUUUGGUGGUUUGGACAUGGAUUUGACGGCAGAGAAGGGACACAGGAAGAGUAUUUCGUGGAGGGAUGUGUCCAACACUAUUGUAUGAAUUAAAUACACACUACCUGUUUGAUGAAAUGCAAGUAUAAUUCUCGUUAUACUUUGGUUUCACAAUCUUUCUGUUGUUUUUCUUCAUGUAGCAUCAUUUUUUAUUGCAGGCAUUGAUAUAUUUCUAUUUGUGCUCAUGCUAGGCAAUAUGAAGUCUUUAGUCUACACAUUAUCUGAUUUUUAGCUGCUCAUUAUCCCAUCAUUUUUUUAUUGCAGGCAUUGAAAAAUAAAAGAAAUAAGAGACCCACGGCCUGUACUUAAGGUCUAGGAUCUGCUAGGUUGGUGGAUCUGCGAGCUUGCGGUUCCUGUUGUUGAUCAACCGCUGCUUCGGUUCGGUGGAGGUUUAAUCAACCAAGUGAGUGCAGUUGCAAACCAGCUGUGCGGCUUAUAGGAGCACUUGCGCCAUCUUUGUAAUGGCAAACACCAUUCCCUUGAUUGUUGAUUAGUCAUCUUCUCCUCAUGAUAUGAUACUGGAAGGAUGUCAUGAUGGAACGGUAUCUUUUUUGCAUGUUGCUUUAUGGAGGUCUCCACAAACUUGCCGUCAGAAGACAUUUUAAUGGUUUGUUAUCUCCCUUUCCAUAGUUUUCUAUCACUUAUGCCAUUCAGAUGACAUGUCUGACUCAGGAACUGCUUACUUUCACAUGCUAAAGAGCAAACAGUUGGAUUUCCUGUACUGCAUAUCUGUUAUUUUUUUUUGUUUGUGUGUUAUAUUAACUA